rnacentral:lncRNA from 1 species
AAAAUUAAUGGGUAAGCGUGGCCCAUUAAUUUAGAAUUUGUGUCUUUGAGACAGUUUAGAGAUUUUAAGAUUUUCAUAGUUAAAUGACCUAUGGAAAAAGAAAUUGGAUGGUUUUAUACCAUUUCUCUUAUUAUCAAUGUCCAAGAAAAAUAAUGAGCAAUUUUGAUGAACUCAUUAAUUUUCUUCAAUUGACAUUUGCAUUUGGAUCCAAAUCUGGCCUUGAGAAUUUUAAUAUUGAUCCAUUAACUAUACAUUAAGCAAUUUGGGCCUCUGUAAAUUUGAUGAAUAUUUAUUUGGAUCACCCAUUAAAUAUUUUGGGCUUUUGAGACUUAAUAUGCAUGCAACCUAAUAAUAUGCUUCCAGGCCUUGACAUUUUUUUAUUAGUUGGCUCAUGAUUGGUCAUCUUCUUUCUCAUCCCUUUAAGUGAACAAAUCAUUAUCAAAUUAGGAUUUCAAAAAUUGGAGCAGUGAAGGAAUUAUAGUCUUGACUGACUUAGGAAACAAUUACAUUGCCAAGAAUCCCCCCUUUAUUUAGAAUAAAUCCCAGACCAAUUUUCCUUUGCUUCACAGUCAGACCAUCUUAGAGAGCAAUCUUCGUUUUCUCAACAAAAUGUAUGACACAGCCAAGAGUUUCAUAGAAUAGCAUCUCUUUUUGUUUCUUUAGUUAAAGUAGACAACAAACAUAAUUGUAAACCAACUAGCCCAGUCCCAAAGAGGCAUGCGCCUCUUCUUUUUUCUUUCUUUUUGCUGAAUUUUCUUCUUUUUUCUUUUGUUGUGUUUGUAUGCAAACAAUCACACAAAGCCAUCUUCCAAAACAGGGCUAUAUAUAAGCCUUUUCCCUUGUUUUUUCUGUAUGUACAACAAACACAAGAUAAAGAAGAUCAUCCAAGAGAGAGAGGGGUUGUACGACACAACAUUUUCUUAUUAUUUGUUUUGACAUAACAACAUGACUUCCUUUUCUUGAAGACCUCCAUCCUUUUUUUUUUUGUGCUGCUACCUUUUCUUUUCUUUAUGACUAAACACCCUUUUUUAUUUUUGAUGCAGUGUAUAUAGAGAAAAAAAGGAAAGCUUUCUCAAGCGGAGAAGGAGGUCAGAGAGUCCAAGAGGUAAUACACGUUCCUGUUUUUUCUAUACAUUUUGGAAUUAACUCCUAUAAUAUCUUCUUUGUUUUUGUUCUCCCAUGGAUUUCCUUUUGCUCAGCAGAGCUUUGUUGAACGGGAAUCAUCAAGAGGAUUUGCUAUCCACCCAUGUGAUUUAAGGGUUGCCACCUAACAUGGAUUUAUCAUCCAAGAAAUUGAUUCAAGUGUUGCCACCCAACAUGGAUUUAUCAUCCAAGAAUUAAAUUUAAGGGCCACCCAAAAUGGAUUUAUCAUCUAAAAAUUAGAUUUAUGGGUUGCCACCCCAACAUGGAUUUAUCAUCCAAGAAAUUGAUUCAAGGGUUGCCACCAUACAAAAAUUAACGGGGAUGACAGUAUACCUGUGACAAUUUCUUUCAUCUCUAUGCUCUAGCAAUUUUUCCAGCAGCAGCCCCUUUUUUCUUCCUUUUCUUCUUGUUUUACUCUUUGCUGAUGUGUUUUUUGUAGGCUACAUGUGAGAGACCUCUUUAGGGUAGGAUGCUUCAUUCAAAUAUUGAAUAAUCAGCUCCACAAAAAUUGGAGACACCAACUUCUCUUGAGAGUUUUCAUUGGUUG